rnacentral:rRNA from 1 species
UAGGGAAUCUUCGGCCAUGGACGAAAGUCUGACCGAGCAACGCCGCGUGAGUGAAGAAGGUUUUCGGAUCGUAAAACUCUGUUGUUAGAGAAGAACAAGGACGUUAGUAACUGAACGUCACCUGACGGUAUCUAACCAGCAAGCCACGGCUAACUACGUCCCAGCAGCCGCGGUAAUACGGCGGUGGCCAGCGUUGUCCGGAUUUGUUGGGCGUAAAGCGAGCGCGGGCGGUUUCUUACGUCUGAUGUGAACGCCCCCGGCUCAACCGGGGAGGGUCAUUGGAAACUGGGGGACUGGAGUGAAGAAGAGGAGAGGGGAAGUCCAGGUGUGGCGGUGAAAGGCGGAGAUAUAUGGAGGAACACCAGUGGCGAAGGGGGCGCUCUGGUCUGUAACGGACGCUGGGGCUCGAAAGCGUGGGGAGCAAACAGG